CCGGAGAAUGUUAUCACGGGAGACACACGGCGGGUGCUAACGUCCGUCGUGAAGAGGGAAACAACCCAGACCGCCAGCUAAGGUCCCAAAGUCAUGGUUAAGUGGGAAACGAUGUGGGAAGGCCCAGACAGCCAGGAUGUUGGCUUAGAAGCAGCCAUCAUUUAAAGAAAGCGUAAUAGCUCACUGGUCGAGUCGGCCUGCGCGGAAGAUGUAACGGGGCUAAACCAUGCACCGAAGCUGCGGCAGCGACGCUUAUGCGUUGUUGGGUAGGGGAGCGUUCUGUAAGCCUGCGAAGGUGUGCUGUGAGGCAUGCUGGAGGUAUCAGAAGUGCGAAUGCUGACAUAAGUAACGAUAAAGCGGGUGAAAAGCCCGCUCGCCGGAAGACCAAGGGUUCCUGUCCAACGUUAAUCGGGGCAGGGUGAGUCGACCCCUAAGGCGAGGCCGAAAGGCGUAGUCGAUGGGAAACAGGUUAAUAUUCCUGUACUUGGUGUUACUGCGAAGGGGGGACGGAGAAGGCUAUGUUGGCCGGGCGACGGUUGUCCCGGUUUAAGCGUGUAGGCUGGUUUUCCAGGCAAAUCCGGAAAAUCAAGGCUGAGGCGUGAUGACGAGGCACU
rnacentral:rRNA from 1 species